UACGGGGGGAGCAAGCGUUGUUCGGAUUUACUGGGCGUAAAGGGCGCGUAGGCGGCGCAACAAGUCACUUGUGAAAUCUCCGGGCUUAACCCGGAGCGGCCAAGUGAUACUGUCGUGCUAGAGUGCGGAAGGGGCUACUGGAAUUCUCGGUGUAGCGGUGAAAUGCGUAGAUAUCGAGAGGAACACCUGCGGCGAAGGCGGGUAGCUGGGCCGAUACUGACGCUGAGGAGCGAAAGCGUGGGGAGCGAACAGG
rnacentral:rRNA from 1 species